rnacentral:rRNA from 1 species
UAACAAGGAUUCCCCUAGUAACUGCGAGUGAAGCGGGAAGAGCUCAAAUUUAAAAUCUGGCAGCUCUGCUGUCCGAGUUGUAAUCUGUAGAAGCAUUUUCUGCGUUGGACUGUGUACAAGUCUCUUGGAAUAGAGCGUCAUAGAGGGUGAGAAUCCCGUCCAUGACACAGAUUACCAAUGCUUUGUGAUAUGCUCUCAAAGAGUCGAGUUGUUUGGGAAUGCAGCUCAAAAUGGGUGGUAAAUUCCAUCUAAAGCUAAAUAUAGGCGAGAGACCGAUAGCGAACAAGUACCGUGAGGGAAAGAUGAAAAGCACUUUGGAAAGAGAGUUAAACAGUACGUGAAAUUGUUGAAAGGGAAACGCUUGAAGUCAGUUGCAUUCUGCAGGACUCAGCCUUGCCUUAUUAGGCCCGGUGUAUUUCCUGCAGGAUGGGUCAACAUCAAUUUUGGUCAGUGGAUAAAGGAGGAGGGAAUGUGGCACCUGUGAAGGUGUGUUAUAGCCUUCUUUCAUAUACAUUGACUGGGAUUGAGGAUUGCAGCAUGCCCUUUGUGGCCAGACUUCAUGUCACAUGCUUAGGAUGUUGACAAAAUGGCUUUAAGCGACCCGUCUUGAAACACGGACCAAGGAGUCUAACAUGCCUGCAAGUGUUUGGGUGGAAAACCCUUGCGCACAAUGAAAGUGAAAGUUGGGAACCUCCGCAAGGGGGUGCACUGACACCCGGCCCUGAUGUUUACUGACGGUGCUGCGGUAGAGCAUGUAUGUUGGGACCCGAAAGAUGGUGAACUAUGCCUGAAUAGGGUGAAGCCAGAGGAAACUCUGGUGGAGGCUCGUAGCGAUUCUGACGUGCAAAUCGAUCGUCAAAUUUGGG